rnacentral:piRNA from 3 species
AGAGCAGCUCCCUCGCUGCGAUCU